ensembl:rRNA 5S_rRNA 5S ribosomal RNA
GUCUACGGCCAUACCACCCUGAAUGCGCCCGAUCUCAUCUGAUCUCAGAAGCUAAGCAGGGUCGGGCCUGGUUAGUACUUGGAUGGGAGAAAAGGAUAGGUCCUGAUAGGAAGGUUCAGAAUGCUGUGCUCC